UACGUAGGGGGCAAGCGUUGUCCGGAUUUAUUGGGCGUAAAGAGCGUGUAGGCGGCCUGACAGGUCUGCUGUGAAAUCUCGAGGCUCAACCUCGAGAUGUCGGCGGAAACCGUCUGGCUAGAGUCCGGAAGAGGAGAGUGGAAUUCCUGGUGUAGCGGUGAAAUGCGCAGAUAUCAGGAAGAACACCUAUGGCGAAGGCAGCUCUCUGGGACGGUACUGACGCUGAGACGCGAAAGCGUGGGGAGCGAACAGG
rnacentral:rRNA from 1 species